UGUCAUGACGACAAGAGCCAGGCUGACAAAUUCUCGCUUAGAACCGUCCAAUCAGACCGAGGAACGACCAUUGCAGGGCGGGACGCACCUAUUCCGAGAAAGGAAAAGUAAAACCCGAGACCGACGGCGAAAAAAAAACUGGCAAUCUAUGGGAUGUUGUCAACGGGAUGCCAUGGUUCACAAUCAGCGAGGGUCUGUGAUCCGGGGGAUUCCAGGUCGCGGGAAAGGUGGCGAUGGCCCAACACGGGAAGCCAGCUGGCGGUGCUGCGAUCUCCCUUGAGGAAACAGAAAUGUUUGAAGAGGACUGAAGGAUGACAAAGAACAGCUGGAGGAGACCGUAGACGGUGGACUACAGUCAACAUGUCUUCCCUGUUGCCUGUGAUCGUGCCUUGCCUCACGACUUCCACCCGGAUCUCUGCUUGCCUCCCUCUACCCUCGACCACAGCUUGGACUCGAACAUUGUUACCUCUCUCCAACCCCCGACUGCUCGCAUCCCUGCUGACUACCUCUUCGUCUUGCCCCUUGGAUUCGACGAAAGAUUCACACAACACGCACCGACAACAACCCCUGGUAAAUGCGUCCGAUACAGGCUAGGGGCCGUCUUCUCCCAGCAUUAGGCCGUCGACCAGAGGCUACACCCCUGUGCCUUCUUCUCUCAUCGCCUGGCUGCUGCAGAACGUAACUACGACAUUCAAUCAAUCAAUCAAUGUUCACUUAUAUAGCCCAAAAUCACUAAUGUCUCAAAGGGCUGCACAAACCACAACACAAACCACUACGACAUCCUCGGUAGGCCCACAUAAGGGCAAGGAAAACUCACACCCAGUGGGACGUCGGUGACAAUGAUGACUAUGAGAACCUUGGAGAGGACGAAAGCAAUGGAUGUUGAGCGGGUCUAACAUGACACUGUGAAAGUUCAAUCCAUAAUGGAUCCACACAGUCGCGAGAGUCCAGUCCAAAGUGGAUCCAACACAGCAGCGAGAGUCCCGUUCACAGCGGAGCCAGCAGGAAAACAUCCCAAGCGGAGGCGGAUCAGCAGCACAGAGAUGUCCCCAGCCGAUACACAGGCAAGCAGUACAUGGCCACCGGAUUGGACCGGACCCCCUCCACAAGUGAGAGUGGGACAUAGGAGGAAAAUAAAAGAAACGGCAGAUCAACUGGUCUAAAAAGGGAGUCUAUUUAAAGGCUACAGUAUACAAAUGAGUUUUAAGGUGAGACUUAAAUGCUUCUACUGAGGUGGCAUCUCGCAUUGUUACCGGGAGGGCAUUCCAGAGUACUGGAGCACGAAAUGAAAGCGCUCUACAGCCCGCUGACUUUUUUUGGGCUUUGGGAAUCACUAAUAAGCCGGAGUCCUUUGAACGCAGAUUUCUUGCCGGGACAUAUGGUACAAUAAAAUCGGCAAGAUAGGAUGGAGCUAGACCGUGUAGUAUUUUAUAUGUAAGUAGUAAAACCUUAAAGUCACAUCUUAAGUGCACAGGAAGCCAGUGCAGGUGAGCCAGUACAGGCGUAAUGUGAUCAAACUUUCUUGUUCUUGUCAAAAGUCUAGCAGCCGCAUUUUGUACCAACUGUAAUCUUUUAAUGCUAGACAUGGGGAGACCCGAAAAUAAUACGUUACAGUAGUCGAGGCGAGACGUAACAAACGCAUGGAUAAUGAUCUCAGCGUCUUUAGUGGACAGA